rnacentral:lncRNA from 1 species
UCUCUCAAUUACAGAGAAGAAAUAUAGUUUAAGGGAGAAUUUUCUCUCUUCUUUUCCCUUAAGGAAUCGGAAAACCCAGGAAGAAGAAACCUAUUUUCUUUAUUAAUUGCCAUUAAAUCACCCCUUUGAAGGUCGAAAGAGCCUUUGCAAUUUUUUCUUUCUUGGGUAUUUAUUUGUACAAAUUUUGAUUUCCUUUUUCUUGUUUUGAGAAGUAAAAAUGGGAACAGAAGUUUUGCGGCCACAAAAUUGUUUGAUUGACAGGUUCAGGGAACCACAACCGGCGGCGGCGUUUCAUCGUCGGAAAAAUAAUGGAUACUAUAACAACGGUUACCGGAAACCGGUUGUUAGAACGGAGAAAAAGAAGUUGAACAACAAGAUCCAGAACCAAUCUGAGCCGUCAAUUUCGAGGAGAUCUGAGGAAUCGAAACCGGUUCAGAUCCCCGGGGGAGUUACACCGGCGGUGGACGGCGGAAUCGUGAUGGGUCAGGUAAUGAUUUUGAGAAGGGGAGAGUCGUUGGAUUCUCUGAACCCGAAUAUAAGGAAAGAGAACAAAACGACGUCGUCGGGUAAGAAGAAGAAACAACCGGCGAGUGGUAGCGGUGAUGAGUUGACGGUUUACGGUACCGGAAGAUUGGGUCCGGAUCAACCCGGGAUGUUACCCAAAAAUAUCCGGGUCGGGCAUACUCCGACCGACGUGUAUGCUGGAUCUGCUUUCUCGAAUUCUCCAUCGC